GGGCUAGUGGUUCUUAAAGGGACCGUGCUCUGAGUGCACAUAUCCAGACACAGGAUGCAAAUCAAUGAAAAGACCGACGUGAUGUGCCCAUCUUCACCUAAGGCAGCUGAUCGGAAGUAUGUAACAGAUCAAUGAGAAGAUCACUGCCCCUCCAGGUCCUGCAUCACCUCCUCGGAGUGGCUGAGGACCAUCAACUGUGGAGACAGAGCUACUUCUGCUGAGCCCUCUACAGGUCAGGAUACAGCUCCAACAUAAAGCAUGGCAUACCUUCCUUGACCUGGUUCCUGCCAAGCAUUCCAGAUCCUUCCCUCGUGACGUCCACUCCUCCCCUCCCUACACCCUGUAAUCCAGCCAUAUGAAGAUUUACUUGUUGGUUUUAUGUCUUUGGGUCUUCGCAUGCCAGGGCUCUGUCUUCCUGGAAUGCCUUUCCUUGUGCUGCCUUCCAGACAGACUGCAAUGCAGCUUAGGAGAUGCAGCUCUAGCAUUUACUCCUCUGUCAAGCCCCCCAGCAGAGCUUGAUUCCCUGUUAUGUCACAGCUAGGCUUUGUGUAUUUUCUCUUACAGCCCAUUUCAACGCAUUGCGAUAUUUUGCAGUCUGCACUUUACUUCUAGAACAUUAGCUCAGACACUUGCCAGUUGUGUUUCGCAUGCUUAGGCCAGCACACAAAAGUAAGUCAAAAAUAGUAAAGUCAUAAAUUAAUUAAUAAAGGAAACUGAUGGUAUGUGGGUAUAUGUCAUCUUAGUUGCAGAUCAUUUAUUUUUAAGAGUAAAGCCAGAAAGAAUGUUUCAAGCAGAAACAAUGGGGGAAAUAGAUCAUUUCUUUGGGCGAAGAAACGAUGAGUGUGGCCCAAAGUGUAAGUUGAAAACAUUUAGCUAUUAUGCCCUCAGGCACAUAAAAUCCUCAGGCCUCUCAUCAAUAAUUUCCUUCUACCACCACAGAGCCAUCCAUGAGGUUGAGUAGGCAUAACAUUUAGGAGUGAAAGGAAAAGAGUAAAGAUUUGUAUCUCUGAACCUAGUGCAGAGAGCCAUCCAAACUCAACCUCAAAUUUUAAGUGGUACAAAAAUGGUCUAAGACUUAUUAGAGAUUAUUCUCAGAGCUAACCAAGAUAGAGCAGGACAUUUGAUUUAUCCCAUGGAUCGGCUAAACUGAAGCACAGCAAAAAUAAACAUUUUCCAGAUUUUUCUGUCAUUCCCGAAAUACAGGACAGGGACAUGGACAAAUAAUAAAUAGUCGGGUUGUGAAGUUAUAUCUUCAAGUGAAGAAACUAACCAAAGGAUUGGCGGGAUUGACGGAGAAGAGCGUGGCUGUGAGGCACAAGUUCGAUAAGGGACUUGAAGUUUCAGAGUUGAGACAGAGGCCAAGUAAUGGUGGGCAGGGAUACUUAAUUCACCAGUCACUCCACGCCAUCCCCGGGGCCUUAAGUAGAAGGCAGGACACCAGAUGACCACCAGAAAGCACUCCUCCCCACAAAGGAGGAAGCUGAUUACAGCUUUCAGGAGCCCCCCACUAUGUGAAGACUGCAAUUCAAAGGCUCUCCCUAGAAAAAGACGGUGGAGAAGCAGCCAAAUACCCCUAGAGACACACAGAGAAGCCAUAACUCUGUUGACAUUCCAAAAAGAAAAAGGGGGAGGAGCAUUUUCCUCCCAGCAGUAUUCUUUAAUUGCCUUUUCUUGCUUCCUUUCUGAAGAGACAAGGGAGGUGGGUGAUGGCAGCUAGAUCAUGUAAAAGUACAGAGGGCAGCGGACAUGAAGGUCUAUCUAGCCUCCUUGUACAAAGGCCUUAUGAUAAUACACACAUAAAAAUGCGUGGGCAAGACUUGGAGUGAUGGUCCCCAUGCCCCGGCCGCCGUGCCGGCCCCAAACUCACUCCCACCCCGUGCUUUGAAUGCAUUUGUGUACACACACCCUCUGACAGAUAGGUUCCUCAUGUUCCCAUGGAGCUGAAAUCUCUGGAGGGAUCACGCUGCUUUUAUACUUCCAACAGCAAAGGUAAGAACCACUGCAUGAUGUUAACUCUAGUUGUAUUCCAGAUUUUCAGUUGCUUGUCUUCGUGUUCACAUGAACUCGAUUUUUUUUUUAACUUACUCUUUGUAAGAGUGCCGCAGUGGCAAACUGAUGCUUGUUUUUGUAACAUCAGUAUGCAGAAACUCAUAUGCGAUCUGGGAGCUUCCUCUCCCUGAGCCCCUCCUUUCUAACAGAGUUUAUGACCUUAUCACAUCUUAGGGGAGUUGAUGAGAAAUGCCAAAUAGAAAUCAAUCCGUAUUUAGUAAAUAUUCUGUGAAACACAUAAAACAUCCUGUAACCACAGCUGUUUUCUGACAUG